AUACUUACCUGGCAGGGAGAUACCAUGAUCAUGAAGGUGGUUCACUCAGGGUGAGGCUCAGUCAGUGCACUCCGGUUUUGCUGACCCCUGCAAAUUCCCCAAAUGUGGGAAUCUCGACUGCAUAAUUUCUGGUAGAAAUUAUCCAUCCAUCCAUCCAUUUU